ensembl:lincRNA
CUUGAGUUUUAUUUUAGAAAAGUAGAGCAGAGCCGUUUCAACUUCUUUAACCGUGAUCCAUGUUUGAAAGGUGUUUCAGCUCCUGCCCCAGUGCACACAGGACAACCUUGAGAAGCACUGUGACAUUUUAGAUUCCAAUCCAGUCUUUCUUUUCUUUCUUUCCAGUUCAUAAUCUCUCUCAGUGAUCCUUUUUUAACUGUAGUAAGAACACAGCGCAAGACCCAUCAUCAGAGUCUGGGUGGGCAACAAAGCGUUGUCAGCCACAGGUGCGAUGGCGUUGGACAGCAGGCCUCCAGAACGCACUCAUCUCCACACUGAAACUUCGGACCCAAAACACGUAUGUAAGUGCAGUCAUGCAGUGGUACGCAGAAUGGAGGUCCCUGAAAAAAUGUAAAUAGGCCCGGGCUUGGUGGUUCAUGCCUGUAAUCCCAGCACCCGGGAGACUGAGGCAGGAAGACCAUCACAAGUUUGAGGCCAACCUGGGCUACAUAGUGAGACUCUGUCUCAGAAAAACAAAUGAACACAUAAAAAAGUAAGAUAGAUCUUUUUACUUUUCUUAAAAAAAUGUUUCUUUCUUUGCAGUGCUGGCUACAACCCACUCUACUGAUGCUGGGAUAUUGCUCCCACAAUGAAAGAUCCCGAAGUCAAGGCCCAGGGCUGGCCUUGAAAACUGCCAACAUCCUUGUUGGUCUCCUUGUGGCGGUGCGGAGGAAUGGAGCCCGGCAAGGUGAGGCCACAGUGCCGUCUGUGUCUGCGAAUAAUCUAGGAGGUAAACGGGCACCUCUAGGCCGCUAUCUCUGCCCCCUUCCAUCUGAGAUCUUCAAACUACUGUGGACCCUCCUGUCGUGUCCCACUGCUAGUAACUGAUGUAUUCCCUUCUUGCUCUAGACGUUGUAAAAGUACUGGAAAUAGUUGUUGGGUGCUUUAUUGCCCAUCUGGAAAGGAUGGUGGUCUCAAACAUUCCCAGUCAAGCUGUUUUCCCCGCAAGAGCUAACACUCCAAAUUACGUUGGAGAAAAAUUUAAAAUUCUCAAAGGCAAUGCCUGCUUUUGAAACUGAUUUAUAUUUCCUCAAACGUCUUAUUUUUCCUCCUUGCUUUAUUCAGGGCUGGGGAUUGAACACAGGGUGCUCUACCACUGAGCUACAACCCGAACACGGCUACACUGUUUUUUGAAGUAGGUAAGAGGAUAUUUAUGAAUCAUUUUCUCUUGCUACUUCUAUUUAUAAUUCAUUUGAAUUUUUAUGACUGCUUAUUACCUCUGCAAACAAAGAUAGAGACGCUGUAGUGACAGAACGGUGCAAAACUGUGAGAAAACAUGAGUCUCACGGCGGCAGAGCGCACACAGGCAUCACUAGCGGGCGGGCCGGGACUCACCCCAGUCACGUGCUGCCUAGGUUGGUCCUAGACACGAACUGCUGAUUUUGGAAAUGCUCUUUCUGUAUCUAGGUCAUUUGAACACACUCCUAUGAAUAACUAAGUAUCUUUCUUAGGGUGGGAAGAAUAUCAAGUGAUUCAUUAUUCAUUUGUGAAAACAAUUAGUAAGAUGCCUGGUCGCUGACAUUUCAG